UACAGAGGUAGCAAGCGUUGUUCGGAAUUACUGGGCGUAAAGGGCGCGUAGGCGGCCUUCUAAGUCAGACGUGAAAUCCCCCGGCUUAACCUGGGAACUGCGUCUGAUACUGGGAGGCUUGAGUAUGGGAGAGGGAUGUAGAAUUCCAGGUGUAGCGGUGAAAUGCGUAGAUAUCAGGAAGAACACCUAUGGCGAAGGCAGCUCUCUGGGACGGUACUGACGCUGAGACGCGAAAGCGUGGGGAGCGAACAGG
rnacentral:rRNA from 1 species